GAUGAACGCUGGCGGCGUGCCUAAUACAUGCAAGUCGAGCGAACGGACGAGAAGCUUGCUUCUCUGAUGUUAGCGGCGGACGGGUGAGUAACGCGUGGAUAACCUACCUAUAAGACUGGGAUAACUUCGGGAAACCGUAGCUAAUACCGGAUAAUAUUUUGAACCGCAUGGUUCAAAAGUGAAGGACGGUCUUGCUGUCACUUAUAGAUGGAUCCGCGCUGCAUUAGCUAGUUGGUAAGGUAACGGCUUACCAAGGCAACGAUGCAUAGCCGACCUGAGAGGGUGAUCGGCCACACUGGAACUGAGACACGGUCCAGACUCCUACGGGAGGCAGCAGUAGGGAAUCUUCCUCAAUGGGCGAAAGCCUGACGGAGCAACGCCGCGUGAGUGAUGAAGGUCUUCGGAUCGUAAAACUCUGUUAUUAGGGAAGAACAUAUGUGUAAGUAACUGUGCACAUCUUGACGGUACCUAAUCAGAAAGCCACGGCUAACUACGUG
rnacentral:rRNA from 1 species